rnacentral:rRNA from 1 species
CCUACGGGUGGCUGCAGUGAGGAAUAUUGGUCAAUGGGAGGAAUCCUGAACCAGCCAUGCCGCGUGCAGGACGACGGCUCUACGAAUUGUAAACUGCUUUUGUACCGGGGUAAAAUGCUCUACGCGUAGCGGUUUGAAAGUACGGUACGAAUAAGGAUCGGCUAACUCCGUGCCAGCAGCCGCGGUAAUACGGAGGAUCCGAGCGUUAUCCGGAUUCAUUGGGUUUAAAGGGUGCGUAGGUUGUUUUAUAAGUUAGCGGUGAAAGCCCGAGGCUCAACAUCGGGGCGGCCGCUAAUACUGGCGGACUAGAGAUCGAGUGAAGCAGGCGGAAUGUG